CUAAGAAUAUUCCGCAAUGGACGGAAGUCUGACGGAGCGACGCCGCGUGGAUGACGAAGGCCGAAAGGUUGUAAAGUUCUUUUGCUGGGGAAGAAUAACCGCAGGAGGGAAUGCCUGUGGGAUGACAAGAACCGGCGAAUAAGCCCCGGCCAACUACGUGCCAGCAGCCGCGGUAACACGUAGGGGGGCGAGCGUUGUUCGGAAUUACUGGGCGUAAAGGGCAUGUAGGCGGCUUGGAGAGCCUGGCGUGAAAGUCUGCAGCUUAACUGCAGGGGUGCGCUGGGAACUGCUGAGCUUGAGUGACGGAGAGGGAGCUGGAAUUCCUGGUGUAGGGGUGAAUCUGUAGAUAUCAGGAAGAACACCGAUGGCGAAGGCAAGCUCCUGGCCGAUGACUGACGCUGAGGUGCGAAAGUGUGGGGAUCAAACAGGAUUAGAUACCCUGGUAGUCCACACAGUCAACGAUGUGCACUAGGUGCUGGGGCGGUAGCUUCGGUGCCGGAGCGAACGUGGUAAGUGCACCGCCUGGGGAGUAUGCUCGCAAGGGUGAAACUUAAAUGAUUGACGGGGUCAUAGCU
rnacentral:rRNA from 1 species